CACACUUUGGAGAGGACCUAACCGGGCUGAUCCUUCUUACAGAUGUGUCUGCCACUGCAGCUGAUGUUGAGACAACUCUCAGUCUUCCUGCAAGUCCUCGCCUGAUACUGCCUGUUUCAGGUGCAACAGGGCAAGUCACAAUUAAAGGUUGGAUGAUCACCUUUGAGGG